rnacentral:rRNA from 1 species
AUUGAACGCUGGCGGCAGGCCUAACACAUGCAAGUCGAGCGGAUGAAGGGAGCUUGCUCCUGGAUUCAGCGGCGGACGGGUGAGUAAUGCCUAGGAAUCUGCCUGGUAGUGGGGGAUAACGUCCGGAAACGGGCGCUAAUACCGCAUACGUCCUGAGGGAGAAAGUGGGGGAUCUUCGGACCUCACGCUAUCAGAUGAGCCUAGGCCGGAUUAGCUAGCUGGGGGGGUAAAGGCCUACCAAGGCGACGAUCCGUAACUGGUCUGAGAGGAUGACCAGUCACACUGGAACUGAGACACGGUCCAGACUCCUACGGGAGGCAGCAGUGGGGAAUAUUGGACGAUGGGCGAAAGCCUGAUCCAGCCAUGCCGCGUGUGUGAAGAAGGUCUUCGGAUUGUAAAGCACUUUAAGUUGGGAGGAAGGGCAGUAAGUUAAUACCUUGCUGUUUUGACGUUACCAACAGAAUAAGCACCGGCUAACUUCGUG